rnacentral:rRNA from 1 species
UACGGGGGGGGCAAGCGUUGUUCGGAAUUACUGGGCGUAAAGGGCUCGUAGGCGGCCAACUAAGUCAGACGUGAAAUCCCUCGGCUUAACCGGGGAACUGCGUCUGAUACUGGAUGGCUUGAGAUUGGGAGAGGGAUGCGGAAUUCCAGGUGUAGCGGUGAAAUGCGUAGAUAUCUGGAGGAACACCGGUGGCGAAGGCGGCAUCCUGGAUCAACACUGACGCUGGGGAGCGAAAGCCAGGGGAGCAAACGGG